UACGAAGGGGGCUAGCGUUGUUCGGAAUUACUGGGCGUAAAGGGCGCGUAGGCGGUACUUCAAGUCAGGCGUGAAAGCCCCGGGCUCAACCUGGGAACCGCGCUUGAGACUGGCAUGCUCGAGUUCGGGAGAGGAUGGUGGAAUUCCCAGUGUAGAGGUGAAAUUCGUAGAUAUUGGGAAGAACACCGAUGGCGAAGGCAGCCAUCUGGACCGACACUGACGCUGAGGCGCGAAAGCGUGGGGAGCAAACAGG
rnacentral:rRNA from 1 species